rnacentral:rRNA from 1 species
CCUACGGGAGGCAGCAGUGAGGAAUAUUGCACAAUGGGGGGAACCUUGAUGCAGCAACGCCGCGUGGGUGAAGAAGCGCCUCGGCGCGUAAAGCCCUGUCAGCAGGGAAGAAAAUGACGGUACCUGAAGAAGAAGCCCCGGCUAACUACGUGCCAGCAGCCGCGGUAAUACGUAGGGGGCAAGCGUUAUCCGGAUUUACUGGGUGUAAAGGGGGCGCAGACGGGGAUGCAAGCCAGGAGUGAAAGCCCGGGGGCCAACCCCGGGACUGCUCUUGGAACUGCGUGGCUAGAGUGCAGGAGGGGCAGGCGGAAUUCCUGGUGUAGCGGUGAAAUGCGUAGAUAUCAGGAGGAACACCGGUGGCGAAGGCGGCCUGCUGGACUGCAACUGACGUUGAGGCCCGAAAGCGUGGGGAGCAAACAGGAUUAGAUACCCUUGUAGUC